GCUUGAGUUUGGUAGGGGAGACUGGAAUUCCUGGUGUAGCGGUGGAAUGCGCAGAUAUCAGGAGGAACACCAAUGGCGAAGGCAGGUCUCUGGGCCAAUACUGACACUGAGGAGCGAAAGUGUGGGGAGCGAACAGGAUUAGAUACCCUGGUAGUCCACACAGUAAACGAUGGGCACUAGUUGUGGGAACCUUCCACGGUUUCUGCGACGCAGCUAACGCAUUAAGUGCCCCGCCUGGGGAGUACGAUCGCAAGAUUAAAACUCAAAGGAAUUGACGGGGCCCCGCACAAGCAGCGGAGCAUGCGGCUUAAUUCGACGCAACGCGAAGAACCUUACCAAGGCUUGACAUAUACAGGAAUAUGGCAGAGAUGUCAUAGCCGCAAGGUCUGUAUACAGGUGGUGCAUGGUUGUCGUCAGCUCGUGUCGUGAGAUGUUGGGUUAAGUCCCGCAACGAGCGCAACCCUCGUUCUGUGUUGCCAGCAUUUAGUUGGGGACUCACAGGAGACUGCCGGGGUCAACUCGGAGGAAGGUGGGGAUGACGUCAAAUCAUCAUGCCCCUUAUGUCUUGGGGCUGCACGCAUGCUACAAAUGGGCUGGUACAAAAGGGCUGC
rnacentral:rRNA from 1 species